UCAGACGAUGCGUCAUGCAUAUCAAUAAGCGGAGGAAAAGAGACUAACAAGGAUUCCCUUAGUAACGGCGAGUGAAGCGGGAAGAGCUCAAAUUUGAAAUCUUCAAGGUUUUACCUUGACGAAUUGUAGUUUAAAGAAGUGUUUUCUGUUGAAGUUUUGGUAAAAGUUCUUUGGAAUAGGACAUCAUAGAGGGUGAGAAUCCCGUAUUUGACCAUUAUUUUCAGCUGUGUGAUACACUUUCAAAGAGUCGGAUUGUUUGGGAAUGCAGUCCAAAAUGGGUGGUAAAUUUCAUCUAAAGCUAAAUAUUGGCGAGAGACCGAUAGCGAACAAGUACCGUGAGGGAAAGAUGAAAAGAACUUUGAAAAGAGAGUUAAACAGUACGUGAAAUUGUCAAAAGGGAAGCGUUUGACACCAGUGUUGUUUUCUCGAAAAUCAAUUAAAAAGAGUUAGAUUUUGUUGUGUAUUGACCUUAACAGCUUGCAUUUCAAUUUUCUUGCUUUUUUUAAUGCACUUUUCGUUUAACAAGUCAACAUCAGUUUCUUUUGUUGUAAAAAGGUCAUUGGAAGGUGGCUUUCUUUUCGGAGAAAGUGUUUAUAGCCUUUGACUCCUGCAAUCGGAGAGACUGAGGUCUGCAGCGUAGAUCCUUCGGGGUUAGAUACAUUUGUGCUAAGUUAUAGCUUUUAUAGACAACUUGUUGACUAUGAUUAGUCUUGUAGCUUACUCGCUUAUGCUAUUUUACCUACGCUUAGGAUGUUGAGUCGUAGAGCACGCAG
rnacentral:rRNA from 1 species